AUCUUGUGAAUACGAUGUUUUCCUUGGUAUUCCCAAUGCACAGAUUUCAUAGGAAGCAUAAAUUUUGGGAUGAAUCAUUGCUAAUGAACACACAAAGCAAAGAAAACUGAUCUGGACAGCAGAGUGAAGUAUGGACUGGAGAAGCAAGGAGGGUGACGCGGCAUCAAAGUGGAAAUUACUAAAGCUUGGGUCGGCGUGGAAGCAGUUGGCUGGAGAAGAAAAGACAAUCUAGAGAAGUUGUGAAGGCUCAGUUCGGGACAGAUGCCCACAAUGCGUAAAAGAUGAUGGAUGAAUAAGUGCCACAAGUGCCUCAACAGAACAGUAUGUCUAUUAUACAGGAAUGAACAUCCUGAGGAAACAGUGUGGCCUAGUGGAUAGAACACGGGCCUGGGAUUCUUUUUCAAGCUAGACCUAGGACAAGACGAAAGCAUACUGCUAAUUGGUCAUCAUCGGAUUUGAACUACAUCUGGAUCAAUAAUCGCUCGAGUCAUUCUCGUCGCCUGGCUUUGGCUUAAGACGAAAGCGAGAUCACCGAAGUGAAUGACAAAUAGGGUUUCAGGAAAUGGAAACGAAUGAGCUUUUCCUUCCCAAAGAAUCACGGAAAACCAACCCUUCCUCGGAAGCUAAUCCCUCGACGGAUAAGAGCGCCAGCCUCUCCCCGCGACACGCGCACAGAUGGGUUGCCGUGGAAAGAUGACAAAUGAGUCGUGUUUGGCUGGAUUAAUGUGUAUUAUCAUGUUAAUGGGUGUUUACCGUGCGGUUUGGGAGGCUCACGCGGUCAUGCCAAAGUGUCAGUGCUUCUCCGACACACACAGAUCCUCCUUUCUUCCCCUUAUUAAUAAUGAAUCCCCAGUGCCACGCAUCUGAGGGGGGAAGCAGCGGGGUCUAGCGGAAAGAACUCUGGACU